rnacentral:lncRNA from 1 species
UUUCCUUCUCUCGACCUCCAUCUCUCUAAAUUUCUAUUAGUUUUAUUUCACCUAUAAUGAUAAUAAUAAAGCCCUGCCCCGUUUUAAGUAUUGUAACCCCUAAUCAUUAAUACCUUGUCCGACUGACGUAGGGCCCCGUAACGUAUGUCAAGGCUCUGCCUAAAUUCGUUGGGGUUCUGUCUCGUGACGUAGGGAUAAAGUGGAAUUGGGUUACUAUACUUAAUGUGAGUGCACUAUAUAUUUUAUUAGAUAAUCCAGGAAUUGUACCAAGAUAUAUCAACCCUCCAAAAAUAUUUCUUACACCCCUAAUAUAUUUAGAAUACCCCUAUAUGUACUAAAAUGCACCCCGAAUACGAAAACCGGUCCCGAAUACCUUUAUAUAAGUAAAAAUAAAAUUAAAACCAAAAUUCUGUGGCGCUCGCGGGCCGCGACAGCUCAAACAACAGACCACCUCCGGUAGUGCCACGUGUCGAUGACUCAACAACUCAUUUGCCGCCUUAGGGCCCUCGCGGGCCGCGUAAACCUUCUUCUCAUCUGUCACGGGCCGCGACAAACCCCCUGAACAGCCCUAUAUAUAGAAUUCGUUGGCCACAGUUCACAAAUCGUUCAUAAAUCUUUCCUCUCUCAAAUUUUCUUUAUAGUGGGCAUUAUACUCGGGUCUAAUACCCCCCCCCCCAAUUAGCGAAGCUCUACCUCGUUGUAAGUAUCAUAACCCCUGGAUACGUAUUAGAUACUCUGCCCGAUUGAUCUAGGGUUCCGUAACGGCUGUCGUGGUUCUGCCCGACGUAGUCGUUGGAAUGCCGUCUUGGGGAGGAUUAUAACCAGGAAAUCACAAAGGAAAGCCCUAUAAUAGCAAUGUGAGUUGAUCCACUUUUCGUUAACUGUUUUUACAAAACCUUAAAUACUUUUCCAUGCGAAUAACAGUUAUUGAGUAUUUGUAAGAAUACAAUUAUCGUGGGUAUGUUGGGGUUUUGUAUACAAAAUUUGUUACCACCUGGUCAAGGAGUAACAUUUCCACAAGUCAGGUCUGACAGUACCAACGGGUGAUAAUUGGUAUAACUUGGAAACAAAAGUAAUUGCGAGAUCACCCUCAAUACUGUACACUGUGACUUUUUAUUUAAACUUGAUUAAACUGGGAUUCACUCACCAGUAUUUCCUGCUGGUAAAAUGUUUUUAAACACGUGUUUCAGGUAACUUAGUGUGAAGCCAAUAAAAGCCAGCUGGAGAGCACUGAAGGCUUGGAAAAGUGGCAAUAAAGUUACCUAAAAUAAAAUAGAUGUUUUUAUUAAACAAAAUAGGAUUCAUUCAUAUGAAAAUGUGUGUACUACAAACUUGGGUUUUACCCAUGUGUUUAAUGUUAUAAAAUAUGGUGGUUUACUCUGAUAAAAUAUUUCCUAACUACGGUCCUGAUGAAAAUUUCCGCUGCCAAAUUAGACAAUAACAAGAUACCACCAGAACUGGCUCACGGCCGCCCGUUCUCAGGUUUGUACCAGGGGGCGGGGGUUGUGACAGAAGGUGGUAUCAGAGCUAUGCUACUGGUCUAAGCCAAAGAAGUGUUCUGCUGACACUUACAUUUUAAAUUCUAUGUUAGGAAAUUAAUAUAACCAUUUAUGUGUUAUUCUGUGUAGAUAAAUCUUAAUAAUUAUAUUAUGAUUUUCAUGUU